rnacentral:rRNA from 1 species
GGGGGCAAUCCCUCUUGUUCUAGGAUGAGCCUGCGUCCCAUUAGCUAGUUGGUGGGGUAAUGGCCUACCAAGGCAAUGAUGGGUAGCUGGUCUGAGAGGAUGAUCAGCCACACUGGAACUGAAACACGGUCCAGACUCCUACGGGAGGCAGCAGUGGGGAAUCUUGCGCAAUGGACGAAAGUCUGACGCAGCAACGCCGCGUGAGUGAAGAAGGCCUUCGGGUUGUAAAGCUCUGUCGGGCGGGACGAAAAAUCCAAGGGUGAAUAUCCCUUGGAUCUGACGGUACCGCCGAAGGAAGCACCGGCUAACUUCGUGCCAGCAGCCGCGGUAA